rnacentral:pre_miRNA from 1 species
CUAAUACUCCCUCCGUCCGGAAAUACUUGUCAUCAAAAUGAAUAAAAAAAGAUGUAUCUAGACAUAUUUUAGUUCUAGAUACAUCCCUUUUUAUCCAUUUUGAUGACAAGUAUUUUCGGACGGAGGGAGUACAUU